ACGCAUCCUUUGCUGAAGGCAAUGGUUAACGGAGCGAAAGCGACGUUCAACCGCAAAACAAGCAGAGGGGGCUUAGUGGUGGGGUGACUGCGUACCUUUUGUAUAAUGGGUCAGCGACUUAUAUUCUGUAGCAAGGUUAACCGUAUAGGGGAGCCGGAGGGAAACCGAGUCUUAAUUGGGCGUUAAGUUGCAGGGUAUAGACCCGAAACCCGGUGAUCUAGCCAUGGGCAGGUUGAAGGUUGGGUAACACUAACUGGAGGACCGAACCGACUAAUGUUGAAAAAUUAGCGGAUGACCUGUGGCUGGGGGUGAAAGGCCAAUCAAACCGGGAGAUAGCUGGUUCUCCCCGAAAGCUAUUUAGGUAGCGCCUCGUGAAUUCAUCUCCGGGGGUAGAGCACUGUUUCGGCUAGGGGGCCAUCCCGGCUUACCAACCCGAUGCAAACUGCGAAUACCGGAGAAUGUUAUCACGGGAGACACACGGCGGGUGCUAACGUCCGUCGUGAAGAGGGAAACAACCCAGACCGCCAGCUAAGGUCCCAAAGUCAUGGUUAAGUGGGAAACGAUGUGGGAAGGCCCAGACAGCCAGGAUGUUGGCUUAGAAGCAGCCAUCAUUUAAAGAAAGCGUAAUAGCUCACUGGUCGAGUCGGCCUGCGCGGAAGAUGUAACGGGGCUAAACCAU
rnacentral:rRNA from 1 species